AAGUGAAAGAGAAGGAAACAGAGAAGGAGAAGGAGGUAGAGAAAGAGAAAGAGGCGCAGGAGAAAGGACAACAGGAAAAUAUAGUAAUGACUGGAGAAAAUGUCUGACUAGUACUACAUAGUGAUGAGAUAUGGUUGUGACUAACGCAGUGUGCGCUAAGAAGAAUGACAAACAGAGAUGUGGUCGUGCUAUUAUAGAACAGAAGAAGAAGAAAGGAAGGAAAUUUAAAUUAAUCCCUCGAUGGAAUACGCGACAGCCAAGUGUUUCUAUGGACCGGAGUAAUACGAUCGGUUGAUGACGAACACUAAAUCAAAUCGUUAGGUUUGUAUCGUUUCUUUCUGAUAACAACGUUUUCUCAGAACUUCACCGAAAACCGAUUUCGUUACCGUCAACGGACACCGAAAUUACAAUGUCGAGUUAACGAAUAAAACCACCGUUUACACGUGUGAUUUCUCUAGAAACGAAUCUUUCCUAAUCGUUCGUUUCUGUGCUCAUUAUCGCGUGAUUCUGCACCUUCGUAAGCGUCGCGUCCAAGGAGACUCGUCGAACGAAAAUAAAUUAGUACGAUCCAUUGAAUACGAAAUCGUAAAUUAAAGUUACACACUUCAAACAUUCCACGGACGGCAAUGAUUUUAUCGUUUAUCGAGCUGCGUUGUUUCAAGUAUUGUUAGUUAGAGCGUUACUAAUUGAAACGAAGACGAAGGAAUUCUAUAAGUGUACUUGUAAAACGAUCGUUAGAGUGCAAUAAAUACUUUAGCGAUACUUUA